rnacentral:rRNA from 1 species
AUGGAAAAGAUGUUGUCCACGUUCAGGAGGAAGCUCGGCGGAAUCCCCGUCAAACUAGUCGCUAAAGACAGGCCAAUGGAACUAGACAAAUUCCUGAUGAAUGAUGAGUACACCUUCGUCGGAUUCGCUAUUGAAGGAGACAAAAGCAAGCUGAAGGUAUAUGGUUUGGAGAUCAACUCCAACAACUACAUUGAUAUUCAGGUUGAAUGGAGAGACCCGUACAAUAAAAAGAAGUUUGACUCUUUGGCUGAUGUUGCUGGCAGGAUGAUAGACAUUCACUACAAUGACAUGAAGAAAAAAAUUAACCGCAAGGAGGAUCAUACUCUGUGGGGAUUUUGCCCGCUGCCAAACAAGCUUAUCAAGUAUGCAGCAAUAGAUGCAUUCGCAACAUAUGAGUCAUGGAGAAUCAUCUACGAUAUCAUAAUGGGACUAGACAGGGCAGAAAGAGACAAAGAAGAAAAGAAGAAGAAGAACAAGACUGUAAUCCAAUACAGCAACUAG